AUUGAGCAUGACAUUCUCCGGGAGUUGGAUUUUCAGGACAUCAUCAUGGCUUUCUCUUCAAAGAAGACCAGACGCAAGAAGUUUUAAAAAGUUACAGCACCCGCCAGGGGGGGGUGAUGUCAGAUCCCUGAUCUGACAUCAGAACAUGAAGUGAAGAAGUCUCGCCUCUCGGCUGCUUACUCCACAUCUCUCAAACAAAGCAGUUUACAGCGGUGGCUGGUGGAGUUGUGUUAGCUGUACAAUGGACCCUACAUAUAACUUUGUGGAUGCCCUGCUGAGCCUGGUCUUUGAGGUGUUUGAGGCCCAUCACCAUUUGUUGAAGAGUUGAAGAAGAUCCCAAUCUCCUUCAACCUGUCCUCCCAGUAUGAGGGACCCCCAAAAGAGGAAUUUGUUGCGCAUCAUGUCUCCCGGUUCAGUUAAGGGAGAGCCGGAACCCUACAUACCGUCCAGCCAGAACAGGAAACUCCUGGCAUAUCCGAAUCCGAUCCCGAUUCAUUUAUUGCCAUUUAUACUAAAAUAGUGGGAAUUUGUCUCAGCGUUCCAGUGUGUGUGUUUCAACAUAUAUAGUGCAUUAGGACAGGACAGUGCUAACAAGACAUAACAGGACAAUCAAAGCAAUGCAAUGGGUGAUGAGAUACCUACGUAGUCUGUGACGGGUCUUUGCAGUUCUAGGCAGCCACAACCUUCUCCCAGAAGGAAGCGGGGUGAAGAGGCCAGGAACAGUGCAUACUUCCGCAAUCCACCAGUGCUCAGCGGCCAAGCCUGGUAUUGCAGCUGUUUAAGCGGGCUGUUGACGGGUCCCUCCAUUCAAGGGACCCAGAAGUAGAUAUCUCCGUUCACUCCAAUACAAGUGGGGAACAGGAAUGUGUCUCCGCAAAAAAAUUCUGGAUAUCAAUCAUAGGCUCAUAAUUAUCUUUACGCCAUGUCCUAAAAUAGUAUGUUUUUUCUUUUCAAAACGCCACCUCAAGCGUUUUAUUAGCCGUUCUCUCUAAUUAUUGGAGAAGGAGGGGUGUGCAGCUGAAAGGAGUCGUAGUGAAACAAAUGCUGCUAUGACCUGGCAUCAGAGAGGGCCUAGUUCAGUGCUCCGUUAACGUGUCAGAUUUUUAGACUGGUUCAAUAUGGCACAUUAGUGCCAUGAUAAAAGAUGCAUUCGGGCGUAUUAUAUUAUUCCACACGCGUAGAUAUUAACUGCGAGCGAGCAAAUUACCUCUGCACACGCAAAACAGCCUCUCGCGCGUGCAAAUUACCUCUGCGCGCGCAAAACAGCCUCUCGCGCGUAACAGCCUCUCGCGAAUGAUGUUCUGCUCUCGCGCGC
ensembl:lncRNA